rnacentral:rRNA from 1 species
CACAAGCGGUGGAUGAUGUGGAUUAAUUCGAUGCAACGCGAAAACCUUACCUACCCUUGACAUGUCCGGAAUCCGAAGAGAUUUGGGAGUGCUCGCAAGAGAGCCGGAACACAGGUGCUGCAUGGCUGUCGUCAGCUCGUGUCGUGAGAUGUUGGGUUAAGUCCCGCAACGAGCGCAACCCUUGUCAUUAGUUGCUACAUUCAGUUGGGCACUCUAAUGAGACUGCCGGUGACAAACCGGAGGAAGGUGGGGAUGACGUCAAGUCCUCAUGGCCCUUAUAGGUGGGGCUACACACGUCAUACAAUGGAUGGUACAAAGGGUCGCCAACCCGCGAGGGGGAGCCAAUCCCAUAAAGCCAUUCGUAGUCCGGAUCGCAGUCUGCAACUCGACUGCGUGAAGUCGGAAUCGCUAGUAAUCGUGGAUCAGAAUGUCACGGUGAAUACGUUCCCGGGUCUU